rnacentral:hammerhead_ribozyme from 1 species
AUUUAGAUGACAAGUCCUAGACAGGACGAAAUGCGCAUCCUAGAU